GCGCCUGUAGCUCAGCCGGAUAGAGUGCGCGGCUACGAACCGCGAGACCGGGGGUUCGAGUCCCUCCAGGCGUACCA
rnacentral:tRNA from 1 species